rnacentral:rRNA from 1 species
CCUACGGGAGGCAGCAGUGGGGAAUAUUGCACAAUGGGGGAAACCCUGAUGCAGCGACGCCGCGUGAGUGAAGACGUAAUUCGUUAUGUAAAGCUCUAUCAGCAGGGACGAAAAUGACGGUACCUGCGUACGAAGCCCCGGCUAACUACGUGCCCGCAGCCGCGGUAAUACGUAGGGGGCACGAGUUAUCCGGAUUUACGGGGUGUAAAGGGAGCGUAGACGGUAGUGGAAGGCUGGCGGGAAAUGCGGGGGCUCAACCCCCAGACUGCCCUGGAACCUGUACGGCUUGAGUGCAGGAGAGGUAAGUGGAAUGCGUAGUGUAGCGGUGAAAUGCGUAGAUAUUAGGAGGAACACCAGUGGCGAAGGCGGCUUACUGGAGUGCAACUGACGUUGAGGCUCGAAAGCGUGGGGAGCAAACAGGAUUAGAUACCCUAGUAGUC